AGGUCCCAUCCCUGAAACUCGUGCCGUAGGAUGGGUCGGCGGCGGAUUAGGCUGUUGGUGGGGUAACGGCCCACCAAACCUUUGAUCCGUACGGGCCAUGAGAGUGGUAGCCCGGAGAGGGACACUGGAAUACUGGUCCCAGCCCUACGGGGUGCAGCAGGCGCGAAAACUCCACAAUGCACGAAAGUGUGAUGGGGGGAUCCUACGUGCUCAUGUCUGACAUGGGCUUUUGCCAAGGCUAGAGAUCUUGGCGAAUAAGGGGUGGGCAAGACCGGUGCCAGCCGCCGCGGUAACACCGGCGCCCCGAGUGGCAAUCGCGAUUAUUGGGCCUAAAGCGUCCGUAGCCGGACAGGUAAAUCCUCUGUGAAAUCGUUGCGCUUAACGUAACGGCGCGCAGGGGACACCGCCUGUCUCGAGACCGGGAGGAGUCAGAGGUAUGCCGUGGGGACUGGUAAAAUGGUAUAAUCCACGGUAGACCACCAAUGGCGAAGGCAUUGGACCAGAACGGAUCUGACGGUGAGGGACGAAAGCCAGGGGAGCGAACCGGAUUAGAUACCCGAGUAGUCCUGGCCGUAAACGCUGUGAGCUAGGUGUUGCCUAUCCCAUGAGGAUGGGCAGUGUCGAAAUGAAGAUGCUA
rnacentral:rRNA from 1 species